AAAGUACUCCCUCUGUCCCAAAAUUCUUGUCUUAGAUUUGUCUAGAUACGGCUGUAUCAAGUCACAUUUUAGUAUUAGAUAUAUCCAUAUCUAGACAAAUCUAAGAAAAGAAAUGUGGGACAGAGGGAGUAGUUG
rfam:Triticum aestivum genome assembly, contig: Triticum_aestivum_CS42_TGACv1_scaffold_456789_5DS